AAAAUCCGCUUCGGCGGGUGAGUAGAGUGGCGCACGGGUGAGUAACGCGUGGGUAAUCUACCCUUGAAUCGGGGAUAACCCUUCGAAAGGGGGGCUAAUACCGGAUAACAUCGGUUUAUUUUCGAAUUUACCGAUCAAAAGUGGCCUCUACAUGUAAGCUACUGUUUGAGGAUGAGCCCGCGUACCAUUAGCUAGUUGGCAGGGUAAAGGCCUACCAAGGCGACGAUGGUUAGCUGGUCUGAGAGGAUGAUCAGCCACACUGGAACUGACACACGGUCCAGACUCCUACGGGAGGCAGCAGUGAGGAAUUUUGCGCAAUGGGGGAAACCCUGACGCAGCAACGCCGCGUGAGUGAUGAAGGCUUUCGGGUCGUAAAGCUCUGUCAAGUGGGAAGAACCUACAUAUGGUUAAUACCCAUGUGUACUGACGGUACCACUGAAGGAAGCACCGGCUAACUCCGUGCCAGCAGCCGCGGUAAUACGGGGGGUGCAAGCGUUAUUCGGAUUUACUGGGCGUAAAGCGCGCGCAGGCGGUUUUGUAAGUCAGAUGUGAAAGCCCUGGGCUCAACCCGGGAAGUGCAUCUGAUACUGCAAGACUUGAGUAUGGGAGAGGGAAGUGGAAUUCCUGGUGUAGAGGUGAAAUUCGUAGAUAUCAGGAGGAACAUCGGUGGCGAAGGCGACUUCCUGGACCAAUACUGACGCUGAGGCGCGAAGGCGUGGGGAGCAAACAGGAUUAGA
rnacentral:rRNA from 1 species